rnacentral:rRNA from 1 species
UGGAGGAAAGCAGGGGAUCGUAAGACCUUGCGCUUUUGGAGUGGCCGAUGCCUGAUUAGCUAGUUGGUGGGGUAAGAGCCUACCAAGGCGACGAUCAGUAGUUGGUCUGAGAGGACGACCAGCCACACUGGGACUGAGACACGGCCCAGACUCCUACGGGAGGCAGCAGUGGGGAAUUUUGGACAAUGGGCGGAAGCCUGAUCCAGCAAUGCCGCGUGAGUGAAGAAGGCCUUCGGGUUGUAAAGCUCUUUCAGUCGAGAAGAAAAGGUUGCGACUAAUAAUCGCAACUUAUGACGGUAUCGACAGAAGAAGCACCGGCUAACUACGUGCCAGCAGCCGCGGUAAUACGUAGGGUGCGAGCGUUAAUCGGAAUUACUGGGCGUAAAGGGUGCGCAGGCGGCUCUGUAAGUCAGAUGUGA